UGCGUAACGCGUGGGAACCUGCCUUUAGGUUCGGAAUAACUCAGAGUAAAUUUGAGCUAAUACCGGAUAAUGUCUUCGGACCAAAGAUUUAUCGCCUUUAGAUGGGCCCGCGUUGGAUUAGCUAGUUGGUGGGGUAAAGGCCUACCAAGGCGACGAUCCAUAGCUGGUCUGAGAGGAUGAUCAGCCACACUGGGACUGAGACACGGCCCAGACUCCUACGGGAGGCAGCAGUGGGGAAUAUUGGACAAUGGGCGAAAGCCUGAUCCAGCAAUGCCGCGUGAGUGAUGAAGGCCUUAGGGUUGUAAAGCUCUUUUACCCGAGAUGAUAAUGACAGUAUCGGGAGAAUAAGCUCCGGCUAACUCCGUG
rnacentral:rRNA from 1 species